rnacentral:rRNA from 1 species
CGCGGCCUAUCAGCUUGUUGGUGAGGUAACGGCUCACCAAGGCGACGACGGGUAGUUGGCGUGAGAGCGCGACCAACCACACUGGGACUGAGACACGGCCCAGACUCCUACGGGAGGCAGCAGUGGGGAAUCUUGGGCAAUGGGCGCAAGCCUGACCCAGCGACGCCGCGUGGGGGAUGAAGGCCUUCGGGUUGUAAACCUCUUUCAGCGGGGACGAAGCGAAAGUGACGGUACCCGCAGAAGAAGCCCCGGCUAACUACGUGCCAGCAGCCGCGGUAAGACGUAGGGGGCGAGCGUUGUCCGGAUUUAUUGGGCGUAAAGCGCGCGCAGGCGGCCGAGCAAGUCGGAUGUGAAAACCCGGGGCUCAACCCCGGGCUGUCAUUCGAUACUGCCCGGCUCGAGGCAGGUAGGGGAGAUUGGAAUUCCCGGUGUAGCGGUGAAAUGCGCAGAUAUCGGGAGGAACACCGGUGGCGAAGGCGGAUCUCUGGGCCUGUCCUGACGCUCAUGCGCGAAAGCUGGGGGAGCGAACGGGAUUAGAUACCCCGGUAGUCCCAGCCGUAAACGUUGGGUGCUAGGUGUGGGGAGCAUCAACCCUCUCCGUGCCGUCGCUAACGCAUUAAGCACCCCGCCUGGGGAGUACGG